UAACUCCGCCGAACGGCCGCGCGGUAUGGUGCCGAAAGGUAUUACCGUGAGGAAAGUCCGGGCUUCAUAGGGCACGAUAGCUGAUAACGUCAGCCGGAGGCGACUCUCGGGAAAGUGCAACAGAAAUAAACCGCCCGCAAGGGUAAGGAUGGAAAGGCGAGGUAAGAGCUCACCCACUCCUAUGGUAACAUAGGUUUGCUGUAAACCCUAUCGGAAGCAACACCGCAGUCGGACAGUCUGCCCGACACACGUCCGCAGGUGGCACGAGGCAUUGCCUCGGAGCUGAAUGGUGACAUUCAGCAAAGAUAGAUGGCCGUUUAAGACAGAACCCGGCUUAUAGACGGGGUUAUAAA
rnacentral:RNase_P_RNA from 1 species